rnacentral:lncRNA from 1 species
AAGUCAUCGGUCAGUGCCUUCAGGGGUCUUGUGGCCACCUCUGUCUCCUCUCUGUGUAGACGAGUGCCCGGUAGAUUAUGUUUGUGCUCGCUGACUUAAUCCAUGACUGAGUACAAACUUCACUUACUUUGAAACCUUCUAGUUUCUCAGCAAAAUGAAAAAGUUACUUUUUCUCCUUGUGUGCUAGGCACAUAAAUUCUAAUAACCUUUAUCUCUGGAAAGACAGAUUUCCAGUAUUGGCCAUUUCAAUUUAUAUUAUUCAUAGAUGUUGGCCCUUAGCAUUCCCACUUACAAUAACCACAAAUCCAGACUCCAUGCCUGCAAACUUAUCUUAUGGCGGAAAAGAUCUUUUUAAGAUAAAGACCAGAUAACCAGACAACCGUAACAAAGCGAAUUCCAAGCUAAGGAAUUGAUGAUUCUGGUUAACUGUGGACAGAGCCCAGCGGGAAGCUGACUUGAGUUCAUGUUCUCCAUAGAUCUGGGGUCAACACGAGAAUCCCUUUCCCAUGAAAUGGUAUAAUAAUUCCCUUUGAAAUGUAUUCUCUUAAAUGCCACUGUGGGGAAAUUUAUUAAAAAUUUAUAGUAUAUAUUAAAUCAAUAAGAUGAAGAUAUUUUUUCUCAUGGCUAUUCUUUAGGUAGA